rnacentral:rRNA from 1 species
CAGGGGGUGCAAGCGUUGCUCGGAAUCACUGGGCGUAAAGCGUGCGCAGGCGGACCGUUAAGUCAGGCGUGAAGGCCCUGGGCUCAACCCAGGAAUUGCGCUUGAUACUGGCGGUCUUGAAUACGGGAGAGGUAAGCGGAAUUCCUGGUGUAGAGGUGAAAUUCGUAGAUAUCAGGAGGAACACCGGUGGCGAAAGCGGCUUACUGGCCCGAUAUUGACGCUCAUGCACGAAAGCGUGGGGAGCAAACAGGAUUAGAUACCCUGGUAGUCCACGCCGUAAACGAUGAGUGCUAGCUGCUGGAGAUCCUUUCUUUCUUCGGUGGCGUAGCCAACGCGUUAAGCAACUCCGCCUGGGAAUACGGUCGCAAGAUUA